GUGAGGAAUAUUGCGCAAUGGAGGCAACUCUGACGCAGCCAUGCUGCGUGCAGGAAGAAGGCGCUACGCGUUGUAAACUGCUUUUAACCGGGAAGAAACCCCAGGACGUGUCCUGGGUUGACGGUACCGGAGGAAUAAGCACCGGCUAACUUCGUGCCAGCAGCCGCGGUAAUACGAAGGGUGCAAGCGUUAUCCGGAUUCAUUGGGUUUAAAGGGUGCGUAGGCGGAGCGUUAAGUCAGUGGUGAAAUCCUGCAGCUUAACUGUAGACUUGCCAUUGAUACUGGCGCUCUUGAGUGCGCUUGAAGUGGGCGGAAUGUGCCGUGUAGCGGUGAAAUGCUUAGAUAUGGCACAGAACACCAAUUGCGAAGGCAGCUCACUAAGGCGAUACUGACGCUGAGGCACGAAAGCGUGGGGAUCGAACAGGAUUAGAUACCCGGGUAGUCC
rnacentral:rRNA from 1 species